UACAGAGGGGGCAAGCGUUGUUCGGAAUUACUGGGCGUAAAGGGCGCGUAGGCGGCCUGUUAAGUCGAACGUGAAAUCCCCGGGCUCAACCCGGGAACUGCGUCCGAUACUGGCAGGCUUGAAUUCGGGAGAGGGAUGCAGAAUUCCAGGUGUAGCGGUGAAAUGCGUAGAUAUCUGGAGGAAUACCGGUGGCGAAGGCGGCAUCCUGGACCGAGAUUGACGCUGAUGAGCGAAAGCUAGGGGAGCAAACGGG
rnacentral:rRNA from 1 species